GGUACUUGCCCCUGAGUGGGGAGCGGCGGACGGGUGAGUAAUGCCUAAGAAUCUGCCUGAUAGUGGGGGAUAACGUUCGGAAACGGACGCUAAUACCGCAUACGUCCUACGGGAGAAAGUGGGGGAUCUUCGGACCUCACGCUAUCAGAUGAGCCUAGGUCGGAUUAGCUAGUUGGUGGGGUAAAGGCUCACCAAGGCGACGAUCCGUAACUGGUCUGAGAGGAUGAUCAGUCACACUGGAACUGAGACACGGUCCAGACUCCUACGGGAGGCAGCAGUGGGGAAUAUUGGACAAUGGGCGAAAGCCUGAUCCAGCCAUGCCGCGUGUGUGAAGAAGGUCUUCGGAUUGUAAAGCACUUUAAGUUGGGAGGAAGGGCAUUAACCUAAUACGUUGAUGUUUUGACGUUACCGACAGAAUAAGCACCGGCUAACUCUGUGCCAGCAGCCGCGGUAAUACAGAGGGUGCGAGCGUUAAUCGGAAUUACUGGGCGUAAAGCGCGCGUAGGUGGUUCGUUAAGUUGGAUGUGAAAUCCCCGGGCUCAACCUGGGAACUGCAUCCAAAACUGGCGAGCUAGAGUAGGGCAGAGGGUGGUGGAUCUUCCUGUGUAGCGGUGAAAUGCGUAGAUAUAGGAAGGAACACCAGUGGCGAGAGGCGACCAUCUGGGGCUCAUACUGACACUGAGGUGCGAAAGCGUGGGGGAGCACACAGGGAUUAGAUACCGUGGGUAGUUCCACGCCGUAAAACGAUGUCAACUAGGCCGUUGGAAUCCUUUGAGAUUUUAGUGGCGCAGCUAACGCAUUAAGGUUGACCGCGUGGGGGAGGUACGGCCCGCAAAGGUUUAAAACUCAAAUGAAAUUGGACGG
rnacentral:rRNA from 1 species